ensembl:lncRNA novel transcript, readthrough between HILPDA-METTL2B
CGCGGCUAUAAGGGGCGGAGGCUGGGCGGCGUUGCUCUGCGCUCUGCGGCUGACGGCGCUUUUGUCUCCGGUGAGUUUUGUGGCGGGAAGCUUCUGCGCUGGUGCUUAGUAACCGACUUUCCUCCGGACUCCUGCACGACCUGCUCCUACAGCCGGCGAUCCACUCCCGGCUGUUCCCCCGGAGUUGAUUAUGAGAUCAAUGCCCACAAAUACUGGAAUGACUUCUACAAAAUCCACGAAAAUGGGUUUUUCAAGGAUAGACAUUGGCUUUUUACCGAAUUCCCUGAGCUGGCACCUAGCCAAAAUCAAAAUCAUUUGAAGGAUUGGUUCUUGGAGAACAAGAGUGAAGUAUGUGAAUGUAGAAACAAUGAGGAUGGACCUGGUUUAAUAAUGGAAGAACAGCACAAGUGUUCUUCGAAGAGCCUUGAACAUAAAACACAGACACCUCCUGUGGAGGAGAAUGUAACUCAGAAAAUUAGUGACCUGGAAAUUUGUGCUGAUGAGUUUCCUGGAUCCUCAGCCACCUACCGAAUACUGGAGGUUGGCUGUGGUGUGGGAAACACAGUCUUUCCAAUUUUACAAACGAACAAUGACCCAGGACUCUUUGUUUAUUGCUGUGAUUUUUCUUCCACAGCUAUAGAACUGGUCCAGACAAAUUCAGAAUAUGAUCCUUCUCGGUGUUUUGCCUUUGUUCACGACCUGUGUGA